rnacentral:rRNA from 2 species
UUGAUCUCAAAUCAGGUAGGAGUACCCGCUGAACUUAAGCAUAUC